rnacentral:rRNA from 1 species
UACGUAGGGACCAAGCGUUGUUCGGAUUUAUUGGGCGUAAAGAGCGUGUAGGCGGCCAGGUAGGUCAGCUGUGAAAACUCGAGGCUCAACCUCGAGACGCCGGUUGAAACCAUCUGGCUAGAGUCCGGAAGAGGCGAGUGGAAUUCCUGGUGUAGCGGUGAAAUGCGCAGAUAUCAGGAGGAACACCAAUGGCGAAGGCAGCUCGCUGGGACGGUACUGACGCUGAGACGCGAAAGCGUGGGGAGCGAACAGG